rnacentral:rRNA from 1 species
AGAGUUUGAUCCUGGCUCAGAGCGAACGCUGGCGGCAGGCCUAACACAUGCAAGUCGAGCGCCCCGCAAGGGGAGCGGCAGACGGGAGAGUAACACGUGGGAACGUACCCUUCAGUUCGGAACAACCCAGGGAAACUUGGGCUAAUACCGAAUACGUCCGUAAGGAGAAAGAUUUAUCGCUGAAGGAUCGGCCCGCGUCUGAUUAGCUUGUUGGUGAGGUAACGGCUCACCAAGGCGACGAUCAGUAGCUGGUCUGAGAGGAUGAUCAGCCUCACUGGGACUGAGACACGGCCCAGACUCCUACGGGAGGCAGCAGUGGGGAAUAUUGGACAAUGGGCGCAAGCCUGAUCCAGCCAUGCCGCGUGGG